rnacentral:lncRNA from 1 species
AUGUUUAUGAGACCAAUUAAAAAGUUCAUCAAGGUCUGCAUUAAGAGGACCAAUUGUAGAGUUCCACCACUCCCAGCCCAGAGGAAGAGGUUUCCAGGCCACCGUUCCACCACUCCCAGCGGAGAGGAAGGAGCUUCCAGGCCACCAUUCCACCGCUCCCAGCCCAGAGGAAGGUGCUUCCAGGCCGCCAUUCCACUGCUCCCAGCCCAGAGGAAAGAGCUUCUGGGCCGACGCUCCACCACUCCCAGCACAGAGGAGGUGAGCCCCACAGGCACCAACAGCACCAACGCCCCCCCCCAUCGAAAUGAGAAGACACUUAAACAAGUCUCAAAACCAGACUUCCAGAUCACAUACCCCAAAGGGAAAGGAGAUGGAACACUCUGAUACUCAACUGGCAACACAACAGAAACUGGAAAAAAUGAAAUCAGAAAUAAUUUAUCAUAUAGCAACAGAGAUUGUGCCCAUAGUUCAAGACAUGAUUAAUAAAUCUAGAGAGGACAUGGAUUAAAAAAAAAAGAGGAGCUGAGGAACAUGAUGGAAUCCCAACAUAGGAAACAAAUGGAAUCCAUAAAACAGAUACAAACAGAUUUCUAGGAGAUUAAAAACUCCACUGAAAGUUUACACAGCAGAAUUAAGCCAAUGUAAGGACAGAAUUUCUGAUAUAGAAGAUAAGAUUGCAAUUAGC